UCGCACGGGGACGAGACUAUAACUACUUUUCCCUAAAGAGAAGGGAGGGAAGGAAAAAAAAAAGAAAAAAAAAAAAAAGGGGGAGAAAAAAGAAACACAACACCCUCGUGAUAUCAAAGUAAAUAAUCGUGCAGGGGGAGGCGGGGGAAGGGGUGAAUUCAGCAAUGUUAAAAGCUAAACAACAGAUCUAUCUCCGGACGCUGCUGCUUCACUCAAUUGCAACUAAUAACCCAUUAAAGACAGCGCAGGGGGAACUGAAUUCUCUCCUGCAAAGCGACAUAAAUCCAGAGAAAACCCAUUAAACCACCGCCACCGCCACCAAGCCACGCAGCACUACACACCACAGCAAACAACAGUGAAGGCGAUGGUUACUGCUGUCAAUCUUGGCAAUCAAUGUGAGCGGCCAUGUCGUAAGUAUUCAAAGCAUUUCCCGUCGUGCAACAUCAGAAAGUGAGUGGCCAGGGCAUUGAUCUGAGGAAGGCAAAAGGAGGCAGGGCUCCCCCGCCCAGACAGCACAGGCAAGAUGAGACAACACAGGGAGAGAGAGGAGGGAGAGGGGAAGGGAGGGAGAGACAGAGAGAGAGAGAGAGAGAGGCUGGGAGCGAGCGGGGAGAGCAACAACUGCGGAGAAAGUGAGCACAAAACAGAAAGUGAAAUCGGCGCGGGCUGCCAGCCGCAUCCCCGCGCAGCUAUCACCACUCACAGGGCCAUUAGACACAUGAAACCCUACACCGCUCCGCUCCCGCUAAUGACCACUGAUUGCCCGGAGUGGUGAGGAAAGGGAACACCCGCCGUGCGGAUCCGUACACACGUGCCGGGAAACAAGAAAACGCUUUCACUUGGAGCGUUACCCCACGUUCAGAAACGCCUUUGGAAUGACUGCUGCCCUGGCUUUGGCUUCAUGAAGGCUCAAGGCAGGCAGAUGCUGAGGAGGGAUGCUGACCUGCUGGGGGUGCCUGCACAGGGAAGGGACUGCAGGCGCUCACAUCAGGUCGGGGCACUUACCUGUGCACAGCUGUCAUGGCAUUUUGCGCCGUGUGUCUCACCAAAUGCCUUAAAGUAAAGCAAUGUUCAACAAGCGAGGCAACCUGUCUGUGUGCUAAGUUGUACGUACCGCAUCUUUAACCUGAGCAGCAAACCUGCAACUCCUGGAGAGUUGGCGGAACAGCCUCAGAAGUUUUGGACUCAAAGGGCGAGAAAUUUCACUUUAAAAGUCAUUCACCCACUUCUGAACUGCCCUCUCACCCCAGUUAAUGCCGGACAAUUAAGAGGCAUGUUUCUAAAUUCCCUCUGCGGACACUGUCCGACAAUGAAGGCUUGUUACAGGCUUGCUAAAGAUGUUCAGAGAAACUUUUGCGAAAUAAUCAACAGCAUCUGAGAGAAAGCUAAAGGAAAAGAAGUUAAAGCCUGAUAAUCCGAUUGGGAAAAAGUUUUGUUAGACUAGAUAGAAGUAAAUUACUGCACGUUUCUUCAAAAGCAAACCCAUCAGCUGAUACGAGUUCCCCUAGAACAAGAACCUCUGGCGAGCUCCUCCAAAUUUAGGGGACGUUUGCAUUUUGUAACACUUAAAGCUAAAGAUCUGCCUGAAAACAAAAACUCUGAAUUCCUUACAGCGUCAUCUGCCAACAAAAUGUAUUGUCUUGGCAGAGAAAGGAUCAAGGAGAUUUUAAUUUCAUUUUAAACUGUGCAUCAUCUUGAUAGCAAAGGAAAAAGCCGCAGCAACAAUCUCCCCGCUCCACGCCCCCGCCGUUAAAAAAAAAAAAAAAAAAAAGGGGGGGGAAGAGAGAACUGGAAAAACCACAUAAACUUUUACAAAGAAAAUAAAAGCAAGUUCGACAUGAAAACCCCUUCCUGUCUCGGAAAGUUCAUUUUAAAGGUCCCUUCUGUAAAUCUAAAGUGCAAACACCAGGCUAAGGUAGUGAGUGGCUGGAAUUUGCAUGCUGAUAAGAGAAGGCUGUUGUACUUACA